rnacentral:rRNA from 1 species
UACGUAGGGUGCAAGCGUUGUCCGGAAUUAUUGGGCGUAAAGAGCUCGUAGGCGGUUUGUCGCGUCUGCUGUGAAAUCUGGGGGCUCAACCCCCCAGCCUGCAGUGGGUACGGGCAGACUAGAGUGGCGGUAGGGGAGAUUGGAAUUCCUGGUGUAGCGGUGGAAUGCGCAGAUAUCAGGAGGAACACCAAUGGCGAAGGCAGAUCUCUGGGCCGUAACUGACGCUGAGGAGCGAAAGCAUGGGGAGCGAACAGG